UAUUUGAGGCUGACUGGGGAGAAAGCUGCCUGGAGGAAGCUGCUGGGGUGCGGGGGGCUGAGGGAUUUGGCUCCCCGCCCUCUCCCCUGGAUGGCGGAGAAAUCGGGCUAGCUGGAAGGGCGCAGAUCCUCUCCCAGAGCUCAUUCCGGAGUCGGAGAACUGGGAGAGCGGCCCCCGAGGCGGAGCCUCCCUCCCGCCCCGAGUCCCGCUGCCCCCCACCUGGGGGAGAGGGGCGGGCGCCGCGCUGCCUUCCCUCCGCGCCUCGGCCGCGUGGCUUGCGGCUUAUUUUCCCAGCUGGCAAGCGUCGCGCUGCAGACAAGGGAAUGCCUGUGGGAAGGCUGCACUGGUUUCCUGAGAUAAAUGGACAGGAAGCGCAUUACCUCCGCGCGCUGGCAAGCGGCUCCCAAAUGCUUUUUGCACCUGCCGUUUUGAGCGGUGAGAGCAGC
rnacentral:sRNA from 1 species